rnacentral:rRNA from 1 species
GAACGCGAAGAACCUUACCUGGGCUUGACAUACACCAGAUCGCUGCGGAGAUGUAGUUUCCCUUGUGGUUGGUGUACAGGUGGUGCAUGGUUGUCGUCAGCUCGUGUCGUGAGAUGUUGGGUUAAGUCCCGCAACGAGCGCAACCCUUGUCUUAUGUUGCCAGCAUUUAGUUGGGGACUCAUGAGAGACUGCCGGGGUUAACUCGGAGGAAGGUGGGGAUGACGUCAAAUCAUCAUGCCCCUUAUGUCCAGGGCUUCACACAUGCUACAAUGGUCGGUACAACGCGCAGCGACACUGUGAGGUGGAGCGAAUCGCUGAAAGCCGGUCUUAGUUCGGAUUGGGGUCUGCAACUCGACCCCAUGAAGUCGGAGUCGCUAGUAAUCGUAGAUCAGCAAUGCUGCGGUGAAUACGUUCCCGGGUCUUGUACACACC